CUUACUUCUAGAGGUUCCUCAAACACUUCAUUGGGGAAUUUUAACGUUAACAUUUCUGUAAUCGAAUUCUACCUACUGAAGUGUUUGGGGGAACUCCCGGGGUUGU
rnacentral:miRNA from 1 species